AUUGGAUACUCCUGCUCCCUUGAGCUAGUUUUUGGAGUGGAGUUAGGUCCGGUUCAUUUUCUUAACAUGAUACCAGAGCCCUACUUAAAUGUUGGGCCACCUCAUAUGUGUGUUUUCCUACAUUGGUGGGGCGAAAUAUUUGAACUAUAUAUAAGACUUUUGUAAACUUCCUUCCCUUGAGAAUUUUUUAUAUGAAUUCAGGAUAAUCUUACCCCAUAAGCUAGCUCAUGGGAAGAUGUUGGGCUACUUGUAAAUGUAUUUGCCAGCAAACUUUAUGAUUCAUAUGUUCAUGCCUAGACGUGAGGGAGGAG
rnacentral:misc_RNA from 1 species